rnacentral:rRNA from 1 species
AGUGAACGCUGGCGGUAGGCCUAACACAUGCAAGUCGAACGGCAGCACAGUAAGAGCUUGCUCUUACGGGUGGCGAGUGGCGGACGGGUGAGGAAUACAUCGGAAUCUACUUUUUCGUGGGGGAUAACGUAGGGAAACUUACGCUAAUACCGCAUACGACCUACGGGUGAAAGCAGGGGAUCUUCGGACCUUGCGCGAUUGAAUGAGCCGAUGUCGGAUUAGCUAGUUGGGGGGGUAAAGGCCCACCAAGGCGACGAUCCGUAGCUGGUCUGAGAGGAUGAUCAGCCACACUGGAACGGAGACACGGUCCAGACUCCUACGGGAGGCAGCAGUGGGGAAUAUUAGACAAUGGGCGCAAGCCUGAUCCAGCCAUACCGCGUGGGUGAAGAAGGCCUUCGGGUUGUAAAGCCCUUUUGUUGGGAAAGAAAAGCAGCAGGUUAAUACCCCGCUGUUCUGACGGUACCCAAAGAAUAAGCACCGGCUAACUUCGUG